ACAAGCAUAAUCUCUGGCCUUGGUUUCAAUGGGUGCUGUCCAAUGAGCAAGGGGCAUAUAAUCCCUGACCCCCUUUGCUAGGUUGAUGGGUGAGAACUUUGUGCUGUAUAAUGUUUCAGCUACCAGAAAAAAUGAUACCAGGUUGACCAAUAUUCAAUAUAAUAACCUCUUGGCAAAUAAUACUGCCACUAGUACUUCAGUAUGUGUUAGAUCACCUUUUUCUUUCUGAUAAGCACUAACGUCAGCAAUGGUGUUUUAAAUUGUAAUAGCUCUGAUGUAGUCUGCUAUUUAGCUGAAUGCUGGGAUGACACCAAUGACACCGCAGUGAUGGUUAAGAUUCCCUCCUUUGUGCCAAUCCCAGUGGAGGCAAACCCGGAUAGCUUUCCUACUCUUAAUUUGCUGAGAGCCAAAAGAGA
rnacentral:lncRNA from 1 species